rnacentral:pre_miRNA from 1 species
GGCGUGUCCACGAUCCAGUGCUGACCUUUAGGAACAGCCAUGGCUCGGCACCGCUAGA